GACGAACGCUGGCGGCGUGCUUAAUACAUGCAAGUCGAGCGAGGUUACUGUUUCGGAUCCCUUCGGGGUGAAGAAGCUUUAACCUAGCGGCGGACGGGUGAGUAACGCGUGGGUAACCUACCCCAAAGUCCGGGAUAACAGCGGGAAACCGCUGCUAAUACCGGAUGCCUUUACCUUGGGGCAUCUUGAGGUAAAGAAAGGUAACGCUUUGGGAUGGGCCCGCGUCCCAUUAGCUAGUUGGUGAGGUAACGGCUCACCAAGGCGACGAUGGGUAGCCGGCCUGAGAGGGUGGACGGCCACACUGGGACUGAGACACGGCCCAGACUCCUACGGGAGGCAGCAGUAGGGAAUAUUGCGCAAUGGACGGAAGUCUGACGCAGCGACGCCGCGUGAGCGAUGAAGGUCUUCGGAUCGUAAAGCUCUGUCCUUGGGGAAGAAGGGUCUUCGGACUUGACGGUACCCAAGAAGAAAGCCCCGGCUAACUACGUGCCAGCAGCCGCGGUAAGGCUACGUAGA
rnacentral:rRNA from 1 species